rnacentral:rRNA from 1 species
GACGAACGCUGGCGGCGUGCUUAACACAUGCAAGUCGAACGGAAAGGCCCUGCUUUUGUGGGGUGCUCGAGUGGCGAACGGGUGAGUAACACGUGAGUAACCUGCCCUUGACUUUGGGAUAACUUCAGGAAACUGGGGCUAAUACCGGAUAGGAGCUCCUGCUGCAUGGUGGGGGUUGGAAAGUUUCGGCGGUUGGGGAUGGACUCGCGGCUUAUCAGCUUGUUGGUGUGGUAGUGGCUUACCAAGGCUUUGACGGGUAGCCGGCCUGGGAGGGUGACCAGCCACAUUGGGACUGAGAGACGGCCCAGACUCCUACGGGAGGCAGCAGUGGGGAAUAUUGCACAAUGGGCGGAAGCCUGAUGCAGCAACGCCGCGUGCGGAAUGACGGCCUUCGGGUUGUAAACCGCUUUCGCCGGUGACGAAGCGUGAGUGACGGUAAUGGGUAAAGAAGCACCGGCUAACUACGUG